rnacentral:rRNA from 1 species
CAGCAGCCGCGGUAAAACGAAGGGUGCAAGCGUUAAUCGGAAUUACUGGGCGUAAAGCGUGCGUAGGCGGUGAGUUAAGUCUGCUGUGAAAUCCCCGGGCUCAACCUGGGAAUGGCAGUGGAUACUGGCUCGCUAGAGUGUGUCAGAGGAUGGUGGAAUUCCCGGUGUAGCGGUGAAAUGCGUAGAGAUCGGGAGGAACAUCAGUGGCGAAGGCGGCCAUCUGGGACAACACUGACGCUGAGGCACGAAAGCGUGGGGAGCAAACAGGAUUAGAGACCCCCGUAGUCCCUGUCUCUUAUAA